AUUGAACGCUGGCGGCAGGCCUAACACAUGCAAGUCGAGCGGAUGAAGAGAGCUUGCUCUCUGAUUCAGCGGCGGACGGGUGAGUAAUGCCUAGGAAUCUGCCUGGUAGUGGGGGACAACGUUUCGAAAGGAACGCUAAUACCGCAUACGUCCUACGGGAGAAAGCAGGGGACCUUCGGGCCUUGCGCUAUCAGAUGAGCCUAGGUCGGAUUAGCUAGUAGGUGAGGUAAUGGCUCACCUAGGCGACGAUCCGUAACUGGUCUGAGAGGAUGAUCAGUCACACUGGAACUGAGACACGGUCCAGACUCCUACGGGAGGCAGCAGUGGGGAAUAUUGGACAAUGGGCGAAAGCCUGAUCCAGCCAUGCCGCGUGUGUGAAGAAGGUCUUCGGAUUGUAAAGCACUUUAAGUUGGGAGGAAGGGCAGUAAGUUAAUACCUUGCUGUUUUGACGUUACCAACAGAAUAAGCACCGGCUAACUUCGUGCCAGCCGCCGCAGUAAGAC
rnacentral:rRNA from 1 species